UUCCGGUUGAUCCUGCCGGACCUGACUGCUAUCGGAUUGAUACUAAGCCAUGCGAGUCAUUGUAGCAAUACAAGGCAGACGGCUCAGUAACGCGUAGUCAACCUAACCUAUGGACGGGAAUAACCUCGGGAAACUGAGAAUAAUGCCCGAUAGAGCACUAUACCUGGAAUGGUUUGUGUUCCAAAUGAUUUAUCGCCGUAGGGUGGGACUGCGGCCUAUCAGUUUGUUGGUGAGGUAAUGGGCCCACCAAGACUAUUACAGGUACGGGCUCUGAGAGGAGUAGCCCGGAGAUGGGUACUGAGACACGGACCCAGGCCCUAUGGGGCGCAGCAGGCGAGAAAACUUUGCAAUGUGCGAA
rnacentral:rRNA from 1 species